AGAGGAAGUAAAAGUCGUAACAAGGUUUCCGUAGGUGAACCUGCGGAAGGAUCAUUAACGAGUUUUGAAAUGGGUUGUUGCUGGCCUUCCGAGGCAUGUGCACGCCCUGCUCAUCCACUCUACACCUGUGCACUUACUGUAGGUUGGCGUGGGUUUCUAGCCUCCGGGUUGGAAGCAUUCUGCCGGCCUAUGUACACUACAAACUCUUAAAGUAUCAGAAUGUAAACGCGUCUAACGCAUCUUAAUACAACUUUCAGCAACGGAUCUCUUGGCUCUCGCAUCGAUGAAGAACGCAGCGAAAUGCGAUAAGUAAUGUGAAUUGCAGAAUUCAGUGAAUCAUCGAAUCUUUGAACGCACCUUGCGCUCCUUGGUAUUCCGAGGAGCAUGCCUGUUUGAGUGUCAUGAAAUUCUCAACCCAUAAAUCCUUGUGAUUUAUGGGCUUGGAUUUGGAGGCUUGCUGGCCCUAGCGGUCGGCUCCUCUUGAAUGCAUUAGCUUGAUUCCGUGCGGAUCGGCUCUCAGUGUGAUAAUUGUCUACGCUGUGACCGUGAAGCGUUUUGGCAAGCUUCUAACCGUCCAUUAGGACAAUUUUAUAACAUCUGACCUCAAAUCAGGUAGGACUACCCGCUGAACUUAAGCAUAUCAAU
rnacentral:rRNA from 1 species